UGGGGAAUUUUGGACAAUGGGCGAAAGCCUGAUCCAGCAAUGCCGCGUGUGUGAAGAAGGCCUUCGGGUUGUAAAGCACUUUUGUUCGGAAAGAAAUCCUUGGCUCUAAUACGGUCGGGGGAUGACGGUACCGGAAGAAUAAGCACCGGCUAACUACGUGCCAGCAGCCGCGGUAAUACGUAGGGUGCAAGCGUUAAUCGGAAUUACUGGGCGUAAAGCGUGCGCAGGCGGUUUGCUAAGACCGAUGUGAAAUCCCCGGGCUCAACCUGGGAACUGCAUUGGUGACUGGCAGGCUAGAGUAUGGCAGAGGGGGGUAGAAUUCCACGUGUAGCAGUGAAAUGCGUAGAGAUGUGGAGGAAUACCGAUGGCGAAGGCAGCCCCCUGGGCCAAUACUGACGCUCAUGCACGAAAGCGUGGGGGAGCAAACAGGAUUAGAUACCCCUGGUAGUCCACGCCCUAAACGAUGUCAACUAGUUGUUGGGGACUUCAUUUUCCUUAGUAACGUAGCUAACGCGUGAAGUUGACCGCCUGGGGAGUACGGUC
rnacentral:rRNA from 1 species